ACCUGAGCUGAAACCAAGAGUCAGAUGCUUAACCGAAUGAGGCACCCAGGUGCCCCCACAUCUCUAACUUCUUUGAUGUUUAGUUUUAAUUAUACUUUCUUUCUUUCUUUUUAACACCACACCAUAGACAUUGUUAUUAUUAUUUCAUGUCAUGAGCAUUGACUCCUCAAUGGAUUAAAAUUAAAAACUUUAGGUCCUCGUCCCCUUUUUAUUGGUAGAUUAUUAAUAACCUUUCUCCAUUUCUUUGAUGAUUGCUAGUCCAUUUAGGCUUCUGGCCUCAAUAUAAUUACUCAAUAUAAUUACUCAAUAUAAUUAGUAAUUGAUAUUACUAAUAUCAAUAUUAGUAAUUUAAAUACUCCUGGGAAAUUUUACUUAAGCAUACAACAAAUAUUGGUUAGAUCAAUAAUAUAAACACUGAUGGGUGUAAACAUAGUUUUAAAUUAUCUGAAGGAAGUAAGAGAUAAGCUGAGUGGAUUCCCCAUGCAUGGGGUUUAAAAACCCUAAUCCUGAUAUUAGGCAAUGAUUCUCAUGCUGGCAUUAAUCCCUGCACAUCCCUGCUCUAAAUAUGACUGCUCUCUUUUUGGUCUCUAGGAAGUCAGAGUCUAAAGCAUUUCCCUGCAUAGGACGCCUGGGACUAAAGAACCCUCUUUUGGAGGAAACCACUUCCAUGUCCUUAGUAAUCCAUAGAAAAAAUUAAUACCACAACUGGAUAGGUGUUGCCAGUUACACCUCAGUAAUUCGUAACUCACCCUGGAAUUAAAUAGUAACUUGAAAAUAUUAAUAAAUGGGCUGAACUCAGACAAUAUUAUUAUGCCUGAAGAGCCAGAAGAAGAAAUUUGAAGAAUGCUAUGUAUGUUCAAGGCUGGGGUGUAGGUAUGUUAAUAGUAAAAUUGUCACCUGGCCUCGAAUGGAUAAUAUUUUAAAUGCUCAAAAGUGUGUUUUUAUUAAAAGGACUUCAGAGGUGCAGUCCGGGUGGCUCAGCGGUUUAGCGCCGCCUUCAGCCCGGGGUGUGAUCCUGGAUACCUGGGAUCGAGUCCCACGUCAGGCUCCCUGCAUGGAGCCUGCUUCUCCCUCCGCCUGUGUCUCUGCCUCUCUCUCUCAUGAGUAAAUAAAUAAAUAAAAUCUUUUAAAAAAAUAAAAAAUAAAUAAAAGGGCUGCAGAAUUUGCUCACCAUUUUAGUAGCUUUUGAAUUUCCACUGGGAUCGUAUCGUAAUGUUUAUGUAGAUUAUUUUUUAAAAAGAAAAAAGAAGUAAGUUGAGUGAGAUGCUGUGGGCUAUUCAAUGAAUUUUCUUUCCAAAGAAUAGGAUGAGUGUAAGUAUUCUCAAAUUGGAUUUUUUUCAGGUUAAGCUUCAAAAUCGCAGGAGGAAAACUCGUUAGAUCAUUCCCAUCAACAUUCAGUUUUUCAAGUGAUCUGCAAAUAAAGGAAACCAAAACUAAAAGUUCCUGGCCCUGGUCCCAACACCCUUCAGUCUUCUGAGCAGUUUCCUAGGGCUGACAUAACCAAGGACCAGGAGCUCAUGUGGCUUAGAGCAACGGACACUUAUUCUCUCACAGUUCUGGAGACCGGAAGUCCGAAAUCAAGGUGUCAGUGGAGUUGGUUCUUUCUGGAGGCUUUGAGGGCCCUCUGGAGAGGCUUGGGGGAUGGAAAAGACAAGAAACAGAAAGGAAAGGGGGGAGGGGACAAAGAGAGGGGAGAGAUCCAAUCUGGUGAUGUCAUUACCCCUUCAAUGAACAAAAAUCACCCUGCAUAUUUCAUGAACAAAUGCUGUCUCAAAGCUUUGGGAAAAAGAAGAAACCAUUUGGAUUUUUGAAAUGAUUUACUGUCUUUAUUUCACAAGAAAACUAAAUGAACAAAUCAAAGACUUUUCAUGGUUACAAAACCUCAAACAUUUAACCUGAGUUGAUUAUACCUUUGCAUAGUAUAAUCAAGGGCAUAGUUGUGACUGUAGAGGGCCUAACUGGAAGGGGCGUAGCUAGAAUGAGAACCCGGUUCUUUAGGUCGUCAGAGCCUGGGUUUUCCUUUCUGCAUUUGCUUUAUACUCUACAGCCCAAGCAGGCCGAAGCAGAAAGAAGGACAACAAAUAUUCAGGCCUCGGUGUAUUUGUGCUGUCAAUCUUCCCUUGAUAUGCAUACAUAACCCAUGUCAUUUAAUAAGAAAUACACUGCUUUAUUUUAGAAGCACUAAUAUUUUUGAGAAAUAGCUCCUUAAAACUUUUCGAGUUAUAAGCAAUAGUUCAGCAAUAGUUCAAGCUAAUUUGUCUAAUCUUUAAAUGGUGAACAGUGUUAAUCCUCUAGUUAGGAGCAAGUUGUAGUUGCUUUGGGAAUUUCUACAUUUUGUUUAAAUGAUGGUUGCGCUUAUUAAAGUUUAUAAUUACAAUUUUAUAGAUGA